rnacentral:rRNA from 1 species
GACGAACGCUGGCGGCGUGCCUAACACAUGCAAGUCGAACGGAAAGGCUCCUUUUGCGGUAUUCGAGUGGCGCACGGGUGAGUAACACGUGUGUAACCUUCCCUUUUCUUCGGGAUAUCCUCAGGAAACUGGGGCUAAUACCGCAUAUGAAUCCUUUCUGCAUCGUUUGUUUUUGAAAGCUCCGGCGGGUUUGGAUGGACUCGCGGCUUAUUAUCUUGUUGGUGGGGUAGUGGCUUACCAAGGCAUUGACGGGUAGACGGCCUGCGAGAGCGAUCGGCCACACUGGCACUGAGAUAAGGCGCAGAAGCCGACGGGAGGAAGAAGUGAGGAAUAUUGAACAAUGGGAGGAAGCCUGAGGCAGCAAGGACGCGUGUAGGAUGACGGAAUUGGGGUUGUAAACCGAUAAAAGCAGGGGCGAAGGUUGUGGUGAAGGUACCUGAAGAAGAAGCACCGGCUAACUACGUG